CCUACGGGUGGCAGCAGUGGGGAAUAUUGGGCAAUGGGCGCAAGCCUGACCCAGCAACGCCGCGUGAAGGAAGAAGGCUUUCGGGUUUUAAACUUCUUUUUUCAGGGAAGAGUAGAAGACUGUACCUGACUAAUUAGCCACGUCUAACUACGUGCCAUCAGCCGCGGCAAUACGUAGGUGGCAAGCAUUGUCCGGAUUUACUGGGUGUAAAGGGCGUGUAGCCGGGUUGACAAGUCAGAUGUGAAAUCCUGCGGCUUAACCGCAGAACUGCAUUUGAAACUGUUGAUCUUGAGAACUGGAGAGGCAGACGGAAUUUCUAGUGUAGCGGUGAAAUGCGUAGAUAUUAGGAGGAACACCAGUGGCGAAGGCGGUCUGCUGGACAGCAACUGACGGUGAGGCGCGAAAGCGUGGGGAGCAAACAGGAUUAGAUACCCGGGUAGUC
rnacentral:rRNA from 1 species